AUGUUUUGUGUAACUCUGCUGCUGCUGUUGGCAGCUGUAUCAUGUGUAAAGUGUGAACAGCUGACACAGCCGGCCUCUGUGACUGUACAGCCAGGGCAGCGUCUGACCAUCAGCUGUCAGGUCUCUUAUUCUGUGAGCAGCUACUACACAGCUUGGGUCAGACAGCCUGCAGGGAAAGCACUGGAGUGGAUUGGAAGAGUAGCUGGAUCUUCCACAGACUACAAAGAUUCACUUAAAAGCAAGUUCAGCAUUUCUGCAGCCUCUUCCAGCAACACAGUGACUUUAAUUGGACAGAAUGUGCAGCCUGAAGACUCUGCUGUGUAUUACUGUGCCCGAGAGCCACAGUAA